UGACUGAUUUAUCGCAUAUAGAUCGGC
rnacentral:sRNA from 1 species